rnacentral:rRNA from 1 species
UACGUAGGGGGCAAGCGUUGUCCGGAUUUAUUGGGCGUAAAGCGCGUGUAGGUGGCCAAGUAGGUCCGCUGUGAAAACUCGAGGCUCAACCUCGAGAUGUCGGCGGAAACCCUCUGGCUAGAGUCCGGAAGAGGAGAGUGGAAUUCCCGGUGUAGCGGUGAAAUGCGCAGAUAUCGGGAAGAACACCCGUGGCGAAGGCGGCUCUCUGGGACGGUACUGACGCUGAGACGCGAAAGCGUGGGGAGCGAACAGG